rnacentral:rRNA from 1 species
GACGAACGCUGGCGGCGUGCUUAACACAUGCAAGUCGAACGGUGAAGGGACCGGUUUUUGCUGGUUCUGGAUGAGUGGCGAACGGGUGAGUAACACGUGAGUAACCUGCCCCCUUCUUCUGGAUAACCGCAUGAAAGUGUGGCUAAUACGGGAUAUUCUGCGCCUGCUGCAUGGUGGGUGGGGGAAAGAUAUUGUUUCGGGGGGGGAUGGGCUCGCGGCCUAUCAGCUUGUUGGUGGGGUGAUGGCCUACCAAGGCGGUGACGGGUAGCCGGCCUGAGAGGGUGGACGGUCACACUGGGACUGAGACACGGCCCAGACUCCUACGGGAGGCAGCAGUGGGGAAUAGUGCACAAUGGGCGCAAGCCUGAUGCAGCGACGCCGCGUGAGGGAUGGAGGCCUUCGGGUUGUAAACCUCCUUCGCCAGUGAAGCAGGCCUGUCCCUUUUGUGGGUGGGUUGACGGUAGCUGGAUAAGAAGCGCCGGCUAACUACGUG